ACUAGCUGUAAUACUAGCUACUCAAGAGGCUAAGGUAGAAAAAUUGCUUGAACCUGGGAGGUGGAGGUUGGAGUGAGCCGAGAUCAUGCCACUGCACUCCAGCCUGGGUGACAGAGUGAGACCCUGUCUCAAAAAACAAACAAACACCCAAACAUAGCAAACAAUGGCCACAUCAGUGAAGAAAUUCAGCUGAAGUUCCCCUGCCUGCUCCUGCCAUCUGUUAGUGGUAGGAACAGCUGAUGUGCUAUUACUUUGCUAUGUGAUGUCCAGUUUUAUAUAUAUGAAAGUUCAUGCAUAAAAAGUUGUAAUAAGAGCUUUGAUAUCAUGUUCAGGAGUUCAAUGUGAGCCUAGCCCUAUUUCUGUACCAAAAACCCCAUAGAUUUACAGACUGUCUUUUUGCCCUUUAUCUGAUGGUUUCCAAAAGCAUUUGGAUCAAGCAGGACAGCCAAGAGUCCACAGCACAAAGCAUACUGGCCCUGCUGUACAGCAAGAACAUAAAGUGUUAUUAUCUGAGCCCCUGGGCUUCCAUAUUAAGCUAAUGAGUGGCAGGGCUGGUCCCUCAAGGGAGUAGGAAACUUGAAGUUUGUGUCUCAUGAUAUGUCUUGCAAAAGGAAGCUUACAGAAGCAGCAUGCAAACAUGCACUGAAGAGUUGUGCAAACAGACAGCUCAUUACUGAAAAUUCCUCACUGGCGAAAGUAAUUUUGCACAAGGGGAAGGGUUUGAAAAACAGCUCUUGCCUCCUGAAGCCCUUUCUGUGGUGGAAACAAAUCAGCUUUUAAAAUACAAUACCAUAGUGGCUUUAAAAAGUGGUAUUUAAGCAGCAUGAAAAUAGCCUACGAGAAAUUAAUGCAAAAUCAAUUCAGGCACAUAAUUUACAUCUGCUGUGUUACCCAGAAUGGCUCUCUUCUAUAACUGGAAAUCUAUGGACCUAAUUCUGGGAUGACUGGAAGGAGUUUUAUAUCUUUUGGGAUGUAGCCAAACAAUCUGUCACCAGGAGGAAAAUCUUGUAACCCUUAAGGGCCAGCAGAAGCUAGGGUCCUGUUGUUAGAACAAACAUACACUUAAAAUUAACAGCCAACAAAAUAGGUGGUGUUCACAGGUCUAGACCUUUAAAUCCAGCCCUGUGCCCAAACCUGCAGUCUUUCCACACUCAUCAGGCUCUGUCCUUCCUAAAUAUAGUUCAUGAGCUGUUUCUGCAUUGAGAGUUGACAGUGAAUGUCUGGAGGAGACACAAUCAACACAAUCAAACUCAUUGCUGUGCUGGACCUGGCAUCCUGGCUUCUCACUGAAUCAGUGGGCAAACAGAAGUCCCGCAGUGGGUCUUCCUCUCUAUUUCCCAUCCCUGCGCUGGGUAUGAUGCUGAUUCAGUUCAUCAAAACCAUGUGAGUUAAUUUGCACAAAGUACACUUCAAGUUCCCAGUUUUGAAAGUCAUUAUAACGAAAGAGAACAAGAAGGAGCAUCCCAGGAGUGGGAGGGGAACGAGAAAAAGAUGACCUCAGGAAGUCUUGGGAAGUUGUUAGAGUUUCAAUAAAAGGGAAUUUCAAGGAAUAGGAAGUUGGUAAGCGUGUCAAAUGCCACAGGGAAGAUGAGUAAGAUAAGGACUCCAUGUGCCCAUUAGGCCCAGCCUUGAGGGCAGCACUUGGGGAUGCAGUUGUGUGGAGUGAGAGGGGAAGUCGGGGGUUGAGUGAUGAGACAAACAGACAAAGGUGCCUGGCUGCCUUCUCUUGUAAAGAGAGAUGGGAGGGACAUUGCCAU
rnacentral:lncRNA from 10 species